UCUGGUAUGAAAGGUUUGACGAGAUAUUAACUGUUUCAUAAAAAUUUAUAAUAGAAUUUUAUUUUUUAGUCAAAAAGCUAAAAUAAUAUUAAAAGACGAGAAGACCCUAUAAAUCUUUAUAUAUAGAUUAUUAGAAUUUCAUAGAUUUUUUUUGUUAUAAUAAUUAAUUGUAUUUUAUUGGGGUGAUAUUAAAAUUUAAUAAACUUUUAAUUUUAAAAAUCAUUAAUUUAUGAAUAAUUGAUCCGUUAAUAACGAUUAGAAAAAUAAGUUACCUUAGGGAUAACAGCGA
rnacentral:rRNA from 1 species